rnacentral:lncRNA from 1 species
CCCACACUCACCACUAUCCCCAUAGAAGUUUUUAUGAAUGGAGAUGGAUGGCACAUUACACUUAGUAAUUUCUAGCAUCCCCCCUCCCUGACUUUCCCUUCUUUUCUGGAUUACUUCUACCCCUGGACUUGUCAAUUUAGCUAACUAUCCCUCUUACUGCUGUUAGAAUAGACUAGCUGUUUGGAUCAUCGGUUUAGUCCAUAUUCUUGUCUUCCCUCUGAACUCUGUUGCAUUCUUCUUAUAUUGGUGUCCCUGAUGUCUUAACCCAAGUGUGUCUUCUCGUCAAACGAGAUUUAUGUAAGAGCUGAUUGCAUUCUCAGUGACUGUGAUUGGCCAGGUAUCCUAUAGUCCAGUUAUGAAAUAUGCUAUCCCUUAUCUUCAUAUGGAAAGAAACAACCACAGAAAAUAACAUAUAAAAACCAAUUGCAAUUCUUAGUAUUGACAACAGAAGAAACAAGCCAACAGAACUUAAAGGUGUUUGGGCACUGAUCUUUGAAGUCUUUGCUGCGAAUAACAAGAAUGCAUAAGGUUCUUGAAUUUGCCAUUAAAAUAUCGGCUCUGAGGACAAGAUACCGAAAGACAUCCUCUCAGUUGAUGGGGGACAGCCACCGUUGAGAAAGUAGAUGAUCACUUUCUUCCUGACAUUCUGGCCUCUGGCCAUGAAUAUUGAAAGCUGUUAUCCUCUGGGGCUACUCAUUUCCUUCUCCAAGAGGCUUUAAUGCUUACGGUAAGUAUACUACCUUGUAACCCAAAUGACCUUAAAUAAUGUUGGCUGCCCAUUCUAUAAAGUAUU